AGAGUUUGAUCCUGGCUCAGAUUGAACGCUGGCGGCAGGCCUAACACAUGCAAGUCGAGCGGAUGAGUGGAGCUUGCUCCAUGAUUCAGCGGCGGACGGGUGAGUAAUGCCUAGGAAUCUGCCUGGUAGUGGGGGACAACGUUUCGAAAGGAACGCUAAUACCGCAUACGUCCUACGGGAGAAAGCAGGGGACCUUCGGGCCUUGCGCUAUCAGAUGAGCCUAGGUCGGAUUAGCUAGUUGGUGAGGUAAAGGCUCACCAAGGCGACGAUCCGUAACUGGUCUGAGAGGAUGAUCAGUCACACUGGAACUGAGACACGGUCCAGACUCCUACGGGAGGCAGCAGUGGGGAAUAUUGGACAAUGGGCGAAAGCCUGAUCCAGCCAUGCCGCGUGUGUGAAGAAGGUCUUCGGAUUGUAAAGCACUUUAAGUUGGGAGGAAGGGCAGUAAGUUAAUACCUUGCUGUUUUGACGUUACCGGCAGAAUAAGCACCGGCUAACUUCGUGCCAGCAGCCGCGGUAAUACGAAGGGUGCAAGCGUUAAUCGGAAUUACUGGGCGUAAAGCGCGCGUAGGUGGUUCGUUAAGUUGGAUGUGAAAGCCCCGGGCUCAACCUGGGAACUGCAUCCAAAACUGGCGAGCUAGAGUAUGGCAGAGGGUGGUGGAAUUUCCUGUGUAGCGGUGAAAUGCGUAGAUAUAGGAAGGAACACCAGUGGCGAAGGCGACCACCUGGGCUAAUACUGACACUGAGGUGCGAAAGCGUGGGGAGCAAACAGGAUUAGAU
rnacentral:rRNA from 1 species